AUUGAAAGUUUUUUUUUUUUUUUUUUUUUUUUUUUUUUUUUUUUUUUU
rnacentral:misc_RNA from 1 species